CGCUACUUUUGCCCGAAACUUUAAAUGUUCCACUACCUCAGACUAUAGAAGAGGCGGAGAUGAUUCCGAGGAGAACUACUAAGCGAAGCAGUGGAAGUUUUCACGAUAUUGGAUUGCAACCUGUCAAGUCUUAAAUUUUCUUUGCAAAGAUUGUUACAAUAAUAUUGCUAUUGGUUGAAAUUAUUAAACAACAAUUAACAAUAUUUAAUAAUCAAGAGUUCUACAAUAUUAUUUUAAUCAGUAAUGUUUAUAUUUGUGACAAUUAUUUGCCUUUUUUAAAAAUACAAUGCGCCUUUGUUGUUUGAUUUUACUUGCUAUUUAGUUACUUGUAAAAGUAUUUAAUUAGAGGUAACUGAGGCAAUACUCUGAGACUACGUAUCAGGCCAUAGUAAGAUAAAAACCACAUUUAUUUGCCAAUAAAAUAUUUAUG